UAUAAAAAUCUUUUCCUUCCAUCCCACUCUCUCUAUUCCCAAAAUAUCACAAAGUAUUCUCUCCCUCUCUUUUCUCUUUUUUUUUUAUUUUUUUCGUGGGAACUUGGCUUCUCCCCUGUUCUCCCAGGAUGCUCCGCCGACUCCCUUCGGUGAGGAAGAAGGGAUAAAGGGAGCAGCCCCCUCCCCUGGUGGGGAAGAGGAGGAAUGCCCCCCGGUGGGGGAAGAGGGAAUGAAUGCUCCUCUGUUCAUGCUUGACUCCUUUUAUAGGCUGCCCACCUCCAUCUCUCCUCCUCCCUAUUUUCCUUCGAGAUAAGGAUAGAUUAAAGUGGGAUAAGGCUGCGAGAUCUCUGCGUUGUAGAUGCUGGCUUUUGUCCCGAUCACUUGAACAACCUGUGAGGAUAAGCUUUGAUUUCGUUUUCUUGUAACAGAGGAUCCGGCAAAGAUGAAUUGGCUGGGAGCUUAUCCACCGAGAAGAAUGCGGGGAUUUGUUCUUUGGAUGGCUGGUUGUAGACAAGAGGAUGAUGCUGAUUUGUAACCGGGAUAAGAUUUGUUCCGUUGGGAACAGAGGAGCUGGUAGCAGGGGAUAGCGGGGUUGCAUGAUUGAUGCAUACGGCUGAAGAUGCGGAGAGGAUGAGCUUAAUCCAUGGGCGAUGGAAUUCUAUUCCGAAUGGGAUAAGAUCUAGGAAGAUGAUGCGGAUGCUGGGGAGAUUGGUUUUGCAUCGCGGAAGGAGUUGGGAAAGAUGCGGAUUGGCUCACGGAAAGCUGGAGACGUUGUGAAGAUACGAUGGGAAGAGGAUGAGGAUGGAUUGGUU